rnacentral:rRNA from 1 species
UACUGAGGAUCCGAGCGUUAUCCGGAAUUAUUGGGUUUAAAGGGUGCGUAGGCGGCCAUUUAAGUCAGCGGUGAAAUUUUGCAGCUUAACUGUAACAGUGCCGUUGAUACUGGGGAGCUAGGAUUUGGUUGCUGUGGGUGGAAUGUGUGGUGUAGCGGUGAAAUGCUUAGAGAUCACACAGAAUAUCGAUUGCGAAGGCAGCUCACAAAGCCAAGAUUGACGCUGAGGCACGAAAGUGUGGGGAUCAAACAGGA